rnacentral:rRNA from 1 species
UGCAGUCGAACGGGGUUUCUUAGGUGGUAACACUUUUGAAACUUAGUGGCGAACGGGUGAGUAAUGCAUGGGUAACGUGCCCUGAACUCAGGGAUAGCGGCGGGCUUCGGCCCUUUAGCGAAAGUGCCGGUAAUACCUGAUAACACCUUCGAAUCUCAUGGUUUGAAGGUCAAAGUUUUUCGGUUCGGGAUCGGCCCAUGUCCUAUCAGCUUGUUGGUGGGGUAACGGCCUACCAAGGCUCUGACGGGUAGCCGGCGUGAGAGCGCGAUCGGCCACAUCGGGACUGAGACACUGCCCGGACACCUACGGGUGGCUGCAGCAACGAAUAUUCCGCAAUGGGCGAAAGCCUGACGGAGCGACGCCGCGUGGAGGAUGAAGUUCUUCGGAAUGUAAACUCCAAUAGUAUGUCAGGAAGAUCUGACCAGCAUACGAAAGGGGUGGCUAACUCCGUGCCAGCAGCCGCGGUAACACGGAGACCCCUAGCGUUGUUCGGAAUUACUGGGCUUAAAGAGCGUGUAGGCGGAACGGUAAGUACCUUGUGAAAGCCCCCGGCUCAACCGGGGAACUGCUUGGUAUACUAUCGUUCUUGAGGCAGGUAGGGGUUGCUGGAACGUUAGGUGGAGCGGUGAAAUGCGUAGAUAUCUAACGGAACGCCUGUGGCGAA